GACGAACGCUGGCGGCGUGCUUAACACAUGCAAGUCGAACGGAAAGGCCCCCACUUUUUUGGUGGGGGUGCUCGAGUGGCGAACGGGUGAGUAACACGUGGGUGAUCUGCCCUGUACUUCGGGAUAAGCUUGGGAAACUGGGUCUAAUACCGGAUAGGACCAUGGUUUAGUGUCUCAUGGUGGAAAAAUUAUUGUUUUGGUGCAGGAUGAGCUCGCGGCCUAUCAGCUUGUUGGUGGGGUAAUGGCCUACCAAGGCGUCGACGGGUAGCCGGCCUGAGAGGGUGGACGGCCACAUUGGGACUGAGAUACGGCCCAGACUCCUACGGGAGGCAGCAGUGGGGAAUAUUGCACAAUGGGCGCAAGCCUGAUGCAGCGACGCCGCGUGGGGGAUGACGGCCUUCGGGUUGUAAACUCCUUUCGUUAGGGACGAAGCCGCACCUUUUUUGGGUGUGGUGACGGUACCUUUGUUAAGAAGCACCGGCUAACUACGUGC
rnacentral:rRNA from 1 species